UAUAUACUACUAAACACUAGAGGGCGUACUCGCUCAAAUUGCUGCUCCGAGCUGGAGCGGUGGCCGCCAUUACUAAGGAGGGCAGAAAAACGGACGACCCAACAAGAUACUGUGCACAACAUACGUGGAAAAAUUGAAGAAGCCAGGUUCGUGCGUUGCAUUUGGAUGUUCGAACCGAAGAAAGAAAGGGAACUGCAUAAUAUUUCACAAGAAUACACUCAAGAGAGGAAAGGAUGUUACACACCACAUCUCAUUCCUAGAGCUGUGCCUACUGUCUUUCCUGGACAUCCUCCCUAUAAACAGACCCAUGGCUCAAGACUCCCAGCAAAACCAUGUACAACAUCCGAAAGUGUUCCCGUGCCUCCAAAGAAACCCUAUGACAUUACAAAAGAACAUGACUAUUCUUUUUCUGUCUGAGUUGAUUAGAAACUGAAUAUAACCAGACAGCAAGUGCAGGAUGCCAAGAAG